GACGAACGCUGGCGGCGUGCUUAACACAUGCAAGUCGAACGGAAAGGCCCUGCUUUUGUGGGGUGCUCGAGUGGCGAACGGGUGAGUAACACGUGAGUAACCUGCCCUUGACUUUGGGAUAACUUCAGGAAACUGGGGCUAAUACCGGAUAGGAGCUCCUGCUGCAUGGUGGGGGUUGGAAAGUUUCGGCGGUUGGGGAUGGACUCGCGGCUUAUCAGCUUGUUGGUGGGGUAGGGGCUUACCAAGGGUUUGACGGGUAGCCGGCCUGAGAGGGUGACCGGCCACAUUGGGACUGAGAUACGGACCAGACUCCUACGGGAGGCAGCAGUGGGGAAUAUUGCACAAUGGGCGGAAGCCUGAUGCAGCAACGCCGCGUGCGGGAUGACGGCCUUCGGGUUGUAAACCGCUUUCGCCUGUGACGAAGCGUGAGUGACGGUAAUGGGUAAAGAAGCACCGGCUAACUACGUG
rnacentral:rRNA from 1 species